GAUGAACGCUGGCUACAGGCUUAACACAUGCAAGUCGAGGGGAAACGACGGGGAAGCUUGCUUCCCCGGGCGUCGACCGGCGCACGGGUGAGUAACGCGUAUCCAACCUGCCUCUGACUGAGGGAUAACCCGUCGAAAGUCGGCCUAAUACCUCAUGGUAUCGUCUGCGGGCAUCCAACGACGAUUAAAGAUUUCAUCGGUCAGGGAUGGGGAUGCGUCUGAUUAGCUUGUUGGCGGGGUAACGGCCCACCAAGGCUACGAUCAGUAGGGGUUCUGAGAGGAAGGUCCCCCACAUUGGAACUGAGACACGGUCCAAACUCCUACGGGAGGCAGCAGUGAGGAAUAUUGGUCAAUGGGCGGGAGCCUGAACCAGCCAAGUAGCGUGCAGGAAGACGGCCCUAUGGGUUGUAAACUGCUUUUAUGCGGGGAUAAAGUGAGGGACGUGUCCCUCAUUGCAGGUACCGCAUGAAUAAGAACCGGCUAAUUCCGUG
rnacentral:rRNA from 1 species